rnacentral:rRNA from 1 species
UACGUAGGGCGCAAGCGUUAUCCGGAAUUAUUGGGCGUAAAGAGCUCGUAGGCGGUUUGUCGCGUCUGCUGUGAAAACUGGAGGCUCAACCUCCAGCCUGCAGUGGGUACGGGCAGACUAGAGUGCGGUAGGGGAGAUUGGAAUUCCUGGUGUAGCGGUGAAAUGCGCAGAUAUCAGGAGGAACACCGGUGGCGAAGGCGGGUCUCUGGGCCGAUGACUGACGUGGAGGAGCGAAAGCGUGGGGAGCGAACAGG